rnacentral:lncRNA from 1 species
AUGUUUUUAAGUUAUAGCUUAUGUGUUUUUUAUCUUACAAUAAUUUAUUUUUUUAUUUUUUUUUUUUAUCAGUCUGAAGACAUUCUUUUUAAAAUACCUGAAGAAAUAGGAGGAUAUACUUUUAUUAAUUAUAUCGAGCAUGUACCGAAUAAUUACAUUUUGCCAAUAAACGAAAAUCUGUACAAGGGCAUACAAGUAUAUAAAAAAGAGGACAUGAAUAUAAGUGGUUUAUGGAAAAGCCUUGAAAAUGAGUCUUUAACAAUAACGAAAAUAAACUUUUUAAAUCCUUUUAAUAUAAAACAGAAUUUGGAGCAAUUAAAAAGAAAAAGAGAUGCUGACAAUAUGGGUAGUGGUUUGACAAAUGGAGAAGAUAUAACCGACUUAACACAAGAUAUGUCAAGUUUUCAAGAAUAUAUACAUAGCCAACAGAAUAAAAUGAAAAAAAAAAAAAAAAUUGGAAGAAGCAACUUAAUGAAUUUACGAAGUAAACUUUCAAGCGAUACAAUGAAAGACGAGGAGAAUGAUGAGGAUAACGAAGAUAAGCGCUUCGAAUAUUUUAAAAAAAUGAGAAACGAACGUACAAACAUAAAUGAAAAUAACAAUAAUGAUCAAAUUGCAGAUUUAAGAGAAGAGUUCAAGAGCAUACAUGAUGAUACAUAUCAAGAAACAUUAGGAAACAAUAACCUUAAUUAUAAGCAUACGUAUAAUAUAAGGAGAACUUUACAUGAAGAAAAAACAGAUUUUGAAGGAAUUACAUUAGAAAGUAUCGAAAAAGAAAAAAAGCUUCUUAUACAAAAUGAUAUGAGGGAACUGAAGGACAAAUCAUUCUAUAUAUGUAAAAAUGUAAAAUUCCCCCAAUUAAAAACUGAAAGUGAACAUAUCGAAAAAAGAAAUAGGAGAGAAUAUGUAGACAAAGAACUUCAAAAAUAUAUUAAUCCUAAAUCGAAGAAGAAAAGUACUGUCACGUCAGAAAUAAAAAGUGAAACCAUCAAAGCUAACACACCAUCAGAAAAAGGGUAAAAAAAAAAAAAAAAAUUUAUAUUAUAUUUAUAUAUAUAUAUAUAUAUUUAUGUAUGUAUAUGUGCAAGCUCAUGAGCACAUAUAUUGGUAAUGUCGAUUGUAUACUAAAGUUGUGUAAGUAUAUCAAAAAUUAGUCAUGUAAUUAUUUUUACUAAUUCAUUUUUAUUUUUUUUUUUUUUCUUACAAUGCAGAUCGAAAAGUUUGAAUCUUUUUUUAAAGAAACAAAAAAAAAAACUAUCAAAAGAAAAUAUAAAUCCGAGUAAAAAUUAAAAAGUAUAUUUUUUAUUUAUAUCAUAAAGUUUAAAUAAGUGAUAAAAGUAGUAAUACAUUAGCUUUUAUAUUUGUUUAUGUUAAUCCGAUAUUAAUUUUUUUUUUUUUUUUUUUUUUUUUACUUAUGAAUUUAUUAUUAAUACAUUUAAAAAAAAUAAAAUAAAACCAAUGAACUAUCA